CUACGGGAGGCAGCAGUGGGGAAUUUUGGACAAUGGGCGCAAGCCUGAUCCAGCCAUGCCGCGUGCGGGAAGAAGGCCUUCGGGUUGUAAACCGCUUUUGUCAGGGAAGAAACGCGCUGGGCUAAUACCUCGGCGUAAUGACGGUACCUGAAGAAUAAGCACCGGCUAACUACGUGCCAGCAGCCGCGGUAAUACGUAGGGUGCAAGCGUUAAUCGGAAUUACUGGGCGUAAAGCGUGCGCAGGCGGUCGUGCAAGACAGAUGUGAAAUCCCCGGGCUUAACUUGGGAACUGCAUUUGUGACUGCACGGCUGGAGUGCGGCAGAGGGGGAUGGAAUUCCGCGUGUAGCAGUGAAAUGCGUAGAUAUGCGGAGGAACACCGAUGGCGAAGGCAAUCCCCUGGGCCUGCACUGACGCUCAUGCACGAAAGCGUGGGGAGCAAACAGGAUUAGAUACCCUUGUAGUC
rnacentral:rRNA from 1 species